rnacentral:rRNA from 1 species
UACAGAGGGUGCAAGCGUUGUUCGGAAUUACUGGGCGUAAAGCGUGCGCAGGCGGUUCUGAAAGUCAGCUGUGAAAGCCCCGGGCUUAACCUGGGAAUGGCGGUUGAAACUACAGGACUAGAAUCUGGCAGAGGGGGGUGGAAUUCCACGUGUAGCAGUGAAAUGCGUAGAGAUGUGGAGGAACACCGAUGGCGAAGGCAGCCCCCUGGGCUGAGAUUGACGCUCAGGCACGAAAGCGUGGGGAGCAAACAGG